AUUGAACGCUGGCGGCAUGCUUUACACAUGCAAGUCGAACGGCAGCGCGGGCUUCGGCCUGGCGGCGAGUGGCGAGCGGGUGAGUAAUGCAUCGGAACGUGCCCAGUAGUGGGGGAUAGCCCGGCGAAAGCCGGAUUAAUACCGCAUACGACCUGAGGGUGAAAGCGGGGGACCGAAAGGCCUCGCGCUAUUGGAGCGGCCGAUGUCGGAUUAGCUAGUUGGUGGGGUAAAGGCUUACCAAGGCGACGAUCCGUAGCUGGUCUGAGAGGACGACCAGCCACACUGGGACUGAGACACGGCCCAGACUCCUACGGGAGGCAGCAGUGGGGAAUUUUGGACAAUGGGGGCAACCCUGAUCCAGCCAUGCCGCGUGCGGGAAGAAGGCCUUCGGGUUGUAAACCGCUUUUGUUCGGGAAGAAAUCCUCUGGGCUAAUACCCCGGGGGGAUGACGGUACCGGAAGAAUAAGCACCGGCUAACUACGUG
rnacentral:rRNA from 1 species